UGGGGAAUAUUGGACAAUGGGCGAAAGCCUGAUCCAGCCAUGCCGCGUGUGUGAAGAAGGUCUUCGGAUUGUAAAGCACUUUAAGUUGGGAGGAAGGGCAGUAAGCGAAUACCUUGCUGUUUUGACGUUACCGACAGAAUAAGCACCGGCUAACUCUGUGCCAGCAGCCGCGGUAAUACAGAGGGUGCAAGCGUUAAUCGGAAUUACUGGGCGUAAAGCGCGCGUAGGUGGUUCGUUAAGUUGAAUGUGAAAGCCCCGGGCUCAACCUGGGAACUGCAUCCAAAACUGGCGAGCUGGAGUAGGGCAGAGGGUGGUGGAAUUUCCUGUGUAGCGGUGAAAUGCGUAGAUAUAGGAAGGAACGCCAGUGGCGAAGGCGACCACCUGGGCUCAUACUGACACUGAGGUGCGAAAGCGUGGGGAGCAAACAGG
rnacentral:rRNA from 1 species